rnacentral:tRNA from 1 species
AUCCGAGUGCUGGAAUUGGUAGACAGUCUUAGCUUAAGUUUAAGUGACGUAAGUCGUAAACGUUCGAAUCGUUUCUUGGAUA